UACGUAGGGGGCAAGCGUUGUCCGGAUUUAUUGGGCGUAAAGAGCGUGUAGGCGGCUUGACAAGUCCGCUGUGAAAACUCGAGGCUCAACCUCGAGCUGUCGGUGGAAACUGUCUAGCUAGAGUGCGAGAGAGGUGAGUGGAAUUCCCAGUGUAGAGGUGAAAUUCGUAGAUAUUGGGAAGAACACCCGUGGCGAAGGCGGCUUCCUGGACGUCUACUGACGCUGAGACGCGAAAGCGUGGGGAGCAAACAGG
rnacentral:rRNA from 1 species